GGUGAUUCUCGUGUGACACACCCCAGAAUUGAGCUCCCUCCUCUUUGGUUCCAGGGUGCGUCACCUGAGAAUUGCC
rfam:Myotis davidii contig130004, whole genome shotgun sequence.